rnacentral:lncRNA from 1 species
AUGUGCCUUGGGGCUGAGCCCUGCCCUGUCCCACCCAGCUCCUGGGAUUCCCCUGCGCUGCAGCAACACUCACACCUGGAUGACAGGGACAAUGAGCAAGUGCUCCUGACACAUCCCGGGAACGUCCACAGCACAUUCCCAACACGUCCCCACUGUGUCCUGCCUGCAGGCACAGCACUGACUCGCACCCUCAGUGCUGGCUCACAUGCCUGGGCAGGGAGACAUGGGCAGUGCCAGCAGACCCUGCCUCAGGGGUGCCCAGUGCCACCCUGGCAGCCGCCAACAGCAAUGACACCCUGUCCCCAAUGGGGACAGCCACUUGCAGCCUGUCCCCAGGCACACAGGCACUGUCACCCAUGGCUGGCUCCUCUCCCCACCAGCUUGGAGCCAGUGAAACACAGCUGGGACCUGGCUGGGCUUCAGCCCACCAUGCCCCACCAUAGCCCCCAGCCCCACUUCAGGGGACAGGCUGGAGCAGGGCAGGAGGGGACAGGCAGCAGGGCCCCUGGGAGGGCACAACCAGGUGCCAGGAAGGAGAAAGAGGCAUAUCCAGCCCCCUUUCCCAGGGCUCAUAUCCUGCCAAGGCUCCAGGAUAGGGGUAUGGGGGGCAGCCAUGGGGGAACUGCACCAGCCCCUGGGCCAGGGCAGAGGUCGUUGAGCUCCCACAGCACUGCCGAGCCAGCGGUGAUGUGCCGAGCUGCAGAGCAACAAGGGGAACUUGGAUCUUGUGGUGAGAGAGAGGCCAGAGCCAGGGGGUUUCCAGGGUUUAAAACACAUGCAAAGGAAGGAGCUGGAACUACUCUGCUUGCCACAGCACUCCCACAGCAAACUGUGGCUGUGGUCACAGUGCAGCCCCAAACAGCCCGAGGGCAGGGGCAGGAACACCUGCCCACCAUCCAUCUGGCACUGGCAGCAGCGACAGGAGGUGCCCUCGUCCUUGGGGCGACCCAUGCGGGGCCACCAGUGCCCAGGGCAGCCAGCCCAGCUGCGUUCCCAAAAACCUGUCUGCUAGCAUCACGCUGGGAAACAGAAACCUGGCUGGAAGGCAGGGCAUGGGGCUCUGUGCCUGCCAGCACCCAGCCCCUUGGGGAGCAGGUCAGUACCCCCCAAAAAACAGGUCCUGUGCCUCACAACACAGAUGCGGCACCUACCAGGGCUGGGGCUGUGCAGGAUCCAGCUCCGUUCCCGGCAGGCUGCCUGUGGGGCCGCCCGACCCUGCUCAGAGCCCUCCAAGGAGCGAGAGCUGUGCUAACUAUUUUGGACAUGGCACCACGGGACUGUCACAUCACCACUCUGCACGUCGCAUCACAUUGCUCUGACAGUUUCACAGCAGCGGCUCCUGCACUGGGAGAACUCUGGAGCUGCUGCUCCCAAACACAGGCACUGGCGGGCAACCAGCGCACCCUCCCUCUCCGCUGUGCCAAGGAGAAGGGCUGGAGAAGCUGGGGGAAAGCUGGAUAA